AGAACGAACGCUGGCGGCAGGCUUAAUACAUGCAAGUCGAACGCUCGUAGCAAUACGGGAGUGGCAGACGGGUGAGUAACGCGUGGGAACAUACCCUCCGGUUCGGAAUAGCUCAGGGAAACUUGGAUUAAUACCGGAUACGGCUGAGAGGCGAAAGAUUUAUCGCCGGAGGAUUGGCCCGCGUUCGAUUAGCUUGUUGGUGAGGUGACGGCUCACCAAGGCGAUGAUCGAUAGCUGGUCUGAGAGGAUGAUCAGCCACAUUGGGACUGAGACACGGCCCAAACUCCUACGGGAGGCAGCAGUGGGAAUAUUGGACAAUGGGCGCAAGCCUGAUCCAGCCAUGCCGCGUGAGUGAUGACGGCCUUAGGUUGUAAAGCUCUUUCGCUCGGGACGAUAAUGACGGUACCGAGAUAAGAAGCCCCGGCUAACUUCGCGCCAGCAGCCGC
rnacentral:rRNA from 1 species